UAGGGAAUCUUCCGCAAUGGGCGAAAGCCUGACGGAGCAACGCCGCGUGAGUGAUGAAGGUCUUCGGAUCGUAAAACUCUGUUAUUAGGGAAGAACAAAUGUGUAAGUAACUAUGCACGUCUUGACGGUACCUAAUCAGAAAGCCACGGCUAACUACGUGCCAGCAGCCGCGGUAAUACGUAGGUGGCAAGCGUUAUCCGGAAUUAUUGGGCGUAAAGCGCGCGUAGGCGGUUUUUUAAGUCUGAUGUGAAAGCCCACGGCUCAACCGUGGAGGGUCAUUGGAAACUGGAAAACUUGAGUGCAGAAGAGGAAAGUGGAAUUCCAUGUGUAGCGGUGAAAUGCGCAGAGAUAUGGAGGAACACCAGUGGCGAAGGCGACUCUCUGGUCUGUAACUGACGCUGAUGUGCGAAAGCGUGGGGAUCAAACAGG
rnacentral:rRNA from 1 species